UACGUAGGGACCAAGCGUUGUUCGGAUUUACUGGGCGUAAAGGGCGCGUAGGCGGCAUAUUAAGUCAGCUGUGAAAUCUCCGAGCUUAACUCGGAACUGUCAGCUGAUACUGAUGUGCUAGAGUGCAGAAAGGGCAAUCAGAAUUCUUGGUGUAGCGGUGAAAUGCGUAGAUAUCAAGAGGAAUACCUGAGGCGAAGGCGGGUUGCUAGGCUGACACUGACGCUGAGGCGCGAAAGCUAGGGGAGCGAACGGG
rnacentral:rRNA from 1 species